AGCUCCAAUAGCGUAUAUUAAAGUUGUUGCGGUUAAAAAGCUCGUAGUUGGAUUUCAGUUCUGGACUGACGGUUCACCGCCCGGUGAUCACUGUCACGCUCCGAACACUUUGACUAUCCGCUGGCUCGCACGGGGUGCUCUUUACCGAGUGUCCCGCGUGGCCGGCAGAGUUUACUUUGAAAAAAUUAGAGUGCUCAAAGCAGGCUACAUUGAUGGCCUGAAUGCCUAUGCAUGGAAUAAUGGAAUAGGACCUCGGUUCUAUUUUGUUGGUUUUCUGAACCCGAGGUAAUGACUAAUAGGAACAGGCGGGGGCAUUCGUAUUGCGACGCUAGAGGUGAAAUUCUUGGACCGUCGCAAGACGAACUACUGCGAAAGCAUUUGCCAAGGAUGUUUUCAUUAA
rnacentral:rRNA from 1 species